rnacentral:rRNA from 1 species
AUUGAACGCUGACGGCAGGCUUAACACAUGCAAGUCGAGCGGGGUGAUGGUGCUUGCACUAUCACUUAGCGGCGGACGGGUGAGUAAUGCUUAGGAAUCUGCCUAUUAGUGGGGGACAACAUCUCGAAAGGGAUGCUAAUACCGCAUACGUCCUACGGGAGAAAGCAGGGGAUCACUUGUGACCUUGCGCUAAUAGAUGAGCCUAAGUCGGAUUAGCUAGUUGGUGGGGUAAAGGCCUACCAAGGCGACGAUCUGUAGCGGGUCUGAGAGGAUGAUCCGCCACACUGGGACUGAGACACGGCCCAGACUCCUACGGGAGGCAGCAGUGGGGGAUAUUGGACAAUGGGGGGAACCCUGAUCCAGCCAUGCCGCGUGUGUGAAGAAGGCCUUAUGGUUGUAAAGCACUUUAAGCGAGGAGGAGGCUCUUUUGGUUAAUACCCAAGAUGAGUGGACGUUACUCGCAGAAUAAGCACCGGCUAACUCUGUGCCAGCCGCCGCAGUAA